rnacentral:lncRNA from 1 species
GAAAAUCUGAUAAAUUCGAAGCCCUUUCAUCCCGAGUAAUAAAUUGUCUUUUUAUUUCGGAUUCCAGUGGCGUAUCAUACGGAUGAUAAAAAAUUCAGGCAGCGGUAGAGCUCGCGGCAAACAGCAGCAGCGUCAAAGUAUUGAUCGCGGGCACCGGAAGACCGAGUGACAGACGCCAAUGCGGGCUAUUUAAACGUCAAUUGGGUCAGCCUAGAGUCGAACGCGGAAUCUGUACCGCAGCUGUGUGGAGAGUCCGAAGAGGAACGAAAAGAAAAAAAAAGCAAAGGGAACGAAAUCGAGAGAAAAAAGGAGGGCACAAAA